rnacentral:tRNA from 1 species
UGGCACAGUGGUUAAGAGCUUGGCUGCUAACCAAAAGGUUGGCAGUUCAAAUCUGCC